CACUGGAGGCAGCGGUUCAUCGAUCUGUUCCUGAAUUGGGUAUUCGUUAAAUUCAUUGCAGUAAUCGAUCGAUAAACCUCUGCAUCCAGC
rfam:Spinacia oleracea cultivar SynViroflay scaffold20395.con0004.1, whole genome shotgun sequence.